rnacentral:rRNA from 1 species
UACGUAGGGGGCAAGCGUUGUCCGGAUUUAUUGGGCGUAAAGAGCGUGUAGGCGGCCAGACAGGUCCGUUGUGAAAACUCGAGGCUCAACCUCGAGACGUCGACGGAAACCGUCUGGCUAGAGUCCGGAAGAGGAGUGUGGAAUUCCGUGGUGUAGCGGUGAAAUGCGCAGAUAUCAGGAAGAACACCUAUGGCGAAGGCAGCACUCUGGGACGGUACUGACGCUGAGACGCGAAAAGCGUGGGGAGCGAACAGG